GAUGAACGCUGGCGGCGUGCUUAAUACAUGCAAGUCGAGCGAACGGACGAGAAGCUUGCUUCUCUGAUGUUAGCGGCGGACGGGUGAGUAACACGUGGAUAAUCCACCUAUAAGACUGGGAUAAUUUCGGGAAACCGGAGCUAACACCGGAUAAUAUUCUGAACCGCAUGGUUCAAUAGUGAAAGACGGUCUUGCUGUCACUUAUAGAUGGAUCCGCGCUGCAUUAGCUAGUUGGUAAGGUAACGGCCUAUCAAGGCAACGAUGCAUGGCCGACCUGAGAGAGUGGUCGGCCACACUAGAGCUGGGACGCGGUCCAGGCUCCUGCGGGAGGCAGCAGUCGCCAAUCUUCCGCAAUAGGCGGGAACCUGGCGGAACGACGCCACGUGAGUGGUAGAAAUCUUCGGAUCGUGAAGCUCUGUUAUUGGGGAAAAACAUAUGUGUAAGUAGCUGUACACAUCUUGACGGUACCUAGUCAAGAAGCCACGGCUAACUACGUG
rnacentral:rRNA from 1 species